rnacentral:rRNA from 1 species
UUUCCUGUGUAGCGGUGGAAUGCGUAGAUAUAGGAAGGAAUACCGAUGGCGAAGGCAGCCUCCUGGACCAAUACUGACGCUGAGGCGCGAAAGCGUGGGUAGCAAACAGGAUUAGAUACCCUGGUAGUCCACGCCGUAAACGAUGAGAACUAGCCGUUGGGGCCCUUGAGGCCUUAGUGGCGUAGCUAACGCGAUAAGUUCUCCGCCUGGGGAGUACGGCCGCAAGGCUAAAACUCAAAUGAAUUGACGGGGGCCCGCACAAGCGGUGGAGCAUGUUGUUUAAUUCGAUGCAACGCGAAGAACCUUACCACCCCUUGACAUCCUCGGAACUGCCUGGAGACAGGCAGGUGCCUUCGGGAACCGAGUGACAGGUGCUGCAUGGCUGUCGUCAGCUCGUGUCGUGAGAUGUUGGGUUAAGUCCCGUAACGAGCGCAACCCUUGUCCUUAUUUGCCAGCGGGUCAGGCCGGGAACUUUAGGGAGACUGCCGGUGACAAACCGGAGGAAGGUGGGGAUGACGUCAAGUCAUCAUGGCCCUCACGGGGUGGGCUACAAACGUGCUACAAUGGGCGGCACAGAGGGCUGCGAACCAGCAAUGGCAAGCGAAUCCCAAAAAACCGCUCGUAGUCCGGAUAGGAGUCUGCAACUCGACUCCUUGAAGUCGGAAUCGCUAGUAAUCGCGAAUCAGAAUGUCGCGGUGAAUACGUUCCCGGGCCUUGUACACACCGCCC